CACAUCUGAAAAGCGGGCGAGCCCUCCCGGCGACGGGGGCGCCGCCCCACCCAAGGUGCAAACCAGGACUCCUCCGACCGGAGGGUCCAGGUGAACCUCUCAGGUUCCGAUGACAGAUGGGGAGGA
rnacentral:ncRNA from 2 species